CUUGAAGCUCUUCCUUUGUCACUUUUGACAAAUCUUUCGACUCUUCUAUGACUCCUACCACUUGGUCUAACUUUGGAGCCAAUGACCUCAAGAUCUUUCCAACAACAGAUCUUAAUGUAAACACUUCUCCAUAUACCUUGAUUUGAUUCACCAAUUUCAUAACCUUAGUGAAGGAAUCAAUUAUGCUUUCAUUAUCUUCCAUCUGAAGCAAUUCAUACGUCCUUUUGUGAGUUUGUAA
rnacentral:lncRNA from 1 species